UACAGAGGGUGCAAGCGUUGUUCGGAAUUACUGGGCGUAAAGCGCGCGCAGGCGGGAUGGCAAGUCGGAUGUGAAAGCCCUCGGCUCAACCGGGGGAAGUGCAUUCGAAACUGCUGUUCUUGAGUGUCGGAGAGGGUGGUGGAAUUCCCGGUGUAGAGGUGAAAUUCGUAGAUAUUCGGAAGAACACCAGUGGCGAAGGCGACAUACUGGCUCAUUACUGACGCUGAGGCUCGAAAGCGUGGGGAGCAAACAGG
rnacentral:rRNA from 1 species